CUAAUACGGUGAACUCGGAAGAGCAAAGCGGGGGACUUCGGGCCUCGCGCUCUCGGACGGCGAUGUCCGAUUAGGCUAUUGGUGGGGUAAAGGCCCACCAAGCGACGAUCGGUAGCGGGUCUGAGAGGACGAUCCGCACACUGGGACUGAACACGGCCAGACUCCUACGGGAGGCAGCAGUGGGGAAUCUUGGACAUGGGCGCAAGCCUGAUCCAGCAAUGCCGCGUGGGUGAAGAAGGCCUUCGGGUUGUAAAGCCCUUUCGGCGGGGAAGAAAUCGGUCAGGCGAAUAGUCUGGCUGGAUGACGGUACCCGCAGAAGAAGCAACCGGGCUAACUACGGUGCCAGCAGCCGCGGUAAUACGUAGGGUGCGAGCGUUAAUCGGAAUUACUGGGCGUAAAGGGUGCGCAAGCGGCCCUGUAAGACCGGUGUGAAAUCCCCGGGCUCAACCUGGGGAAAUUGCGCUGGUGACUGUCAUGGGGCUAGAGUACGGUAGAGGGGGUGGAAUUCCUGGGUGUAGCAGUGAAAUGCGUAGAGAUCAGGGAUGGAACACCGAUGGCGAAGGCAGCCCCCUGGGCCUGUACUGACGCUCAUGCACGAAAGCGUGGGGGAGCCAAAUCAGGAUUAGAUACCCUGGUAGUCCACGCCCUAAACGAUGAGAACUAGCCGUCUGGAGUCUUCGUGCUCUGGGUGGCGCAGCUAACGCGUGAAGUUCUCCGCCUGGGGAGUACGGCCGCAAGGUUAAAACUCAAAGGAAUUGACGGGGACCCGCACAAGCGGUGGAU
rnacentral:rRNA from 1 species